GAGUUUGUAUCAUGGCUCAGGAUAAACGCUGGCGGCGCACAUAAGACAUGCAAGUCGAACGGACUUAACCAUUAGUUUACUAUUGGAGCGGUUAGUGGCGGACUGGUGAGUAACACGUAAGCAACCUGCCUAUCAGAGGGGAACAACAGUUAGAAAUGACUGCUAAUACCGCAUAUACCCAAGUGUCACAUGGCACAAUGGGGAAAAGAGCAAAUCCGCUGAUAGAUGGGCUUGCGU
rnacentral:rRNA from 1 species